AUACGUAAGAUCCGAGCGUUGUCCGGAUUUACUGGGCGUAAAGGGUGCGUAGGCGGCGUGGUAAGUCUCAUGUGAAAUCUCCCGGCUUAACUGGGAGGGGUCAUGGGAUACUGCCAUGCUCGAGGGCAGUAGAGGAGAGCGGAAUUCCGGGAGUAGCGGUGAUAUGCGUAGAUACCCGGAGGAACACCCGUGGCGAAAGCGGCUCUCUAGGCUGUACCUGACGCUAAGGCACGAAAGCGUGGGGAGCAAACCGGAUUAGAUACCCCAGUAGUCC
rnacentral:rRNA from 1 species